UACGUAGGCAGCAAGCGUUGUUCGGAGUUACUGGGCGUAAAGGGUGCGUAGGUGGCUCUAUAAGUAUGGUGUGAAAUCUCCCGGCUUAACUGGGAGGGUGCGCCGUAGACUGUGGGGCUAGAGUGUGGGAGAGGAAAGUGGAAUUCCUGGUGUAGCGGUGAAAUGCGUAGAUAUCAGGAGGAACACCCGUGGCGAAAGCGGCUCUCUGGGACGGUACUGACGCUGAGACGCGAAAGCGUGGGGAGCAAACAGG
rnacentral:rRNA from 1 species